rnacentral:rRNA from 1 species
UACGUAGGGUGCAAGCGUUGUCCGGAAUUAUUGGGCGUAAAGAGCUCGUAGGCGGUCUGUCGCGUCGGAUGUGAAAACCCAGGGCUCAACUCCGGGCCUGCAGCCGAUACGGGCAGACUAGAGUUCGGCAGGGGAGACUGGAAUUCCUGGUGUAGCGGUGAAAUGCGCAGAUAUCAGGAGGAACACCGGUGGCGAAGGCGGGUCUCUGGGCCGAUACUGACGCUGAGGAGCGAAAGCGUGGGGAGCGAACAGG